CGAGUUAACCAAAUUAUUUUAUUUUGACUUUUGAGUCAGAGAUUACCUCCCUUGGAUCUAUUACUGCGCUACUUGACCAUAGCUUUCAAUUGCCGUUUCAAUGGUAAAGCUUGGGCUUAGAUUGGGCCCCAGCUCUAUGACAGUUAGGUUGGACUGGGGAAAGUUGUUGAGGAUAAUCAAAGUUUAGGAAUCAAUUCAAUGCAAUGGUAGGUCCAGAAUGGAGCUUGGUUGAAGCACUACUUCGUGUGAACGAGAUUGCCGCUGCGGGAGCCAUUGUUUGAAAGCUCUUUCAAGCUAUCAGACCUGGAAAAAUAAUAUCGUAGAAUUUUACUGCUUUGGAUGUUCCACGUUCUUCAAUUCAAUGCCGGAGGAAGUGGGAUUUAUUGGUUGCUGACUACUACAGGCUCACGCGGUCAAGACUAGGACCAAUUCUUGCUGCUUUUCUCAGGGUCAAAGCUUUCCUCCCAAUUUUGACUCUGAACUUUUCAAUACAGACUCAGAUACUGACCCAGCUGCUCAUCUUGACUUAACUGAAUUAAUUUCACAGUUGGGUAUGCUCCUCUUUUUUUAAUUAAUUUUAAUCACAUUUGUUUAAUUGUGGACUGCUUCCGGAUGAUGUACAAUUGGAUCAUUUGAUUGGAUAUGAAAUUUGACUAGUGCAAUGCUGAAACUUUUACUAUGCUGCCA